rnacentral:lncRNA from 1 species
CCUUUCUCCAUACUGUAUACUAUCCGAUACAGUAUAGUAUACUGUACCGAAAUUUAUAUGGCGAAGUGAUUGCGGCUCACGACACGUUAACUGAUGGGGACUGUUCGCUUUAUAGUAUAGGAUAGAAUACACAAACACAAAGCACAAUAGGCGCACAAUAUAGCGAGAAGCCGAAAGCCGCGAGAAGCAUCAAACUGAGUUGAAUGUAAGCGAGAAGUACUUUCUCGCUCUCGCUCGCAAGAUUUCUCGGCUUUCGCUCGUGCAUAGUUGCAUUCCAUGAGAGCGAUAAAGCCAGAAAUCUCGCUCUCGCUGGUAAAUUCGUGUCUGCAUAGUCGCACCCUAAGUCGAGAUCUGGCUGAGUCGUUUUCUCGCCUCCGAUGGCGAUAUAUUCAGCUCAUUUCUUCGCCUCGUUUAAUGUUCGCGUUUUGUCGCUAUCGCUAUAUUUGUUUGAAGCGAUUGAAAUCAAGAUACAGUACAGGAAUUGCUAGUUUCAGGGAAC